AUACCUUUCUCGGCCCUUGGCUAAGAUCAAGUGCAUAUCUGUUCUUAUUAAUAUCUGAUAUGUUACUCAAUAGGUCACACGAUAUUAAAUUAUCUCUUUUAGAUGAAAUGUAU
rnacentral:snRNA from 2 species